GCCGAAGUGGUGGAACUGGUAGACACGCUGUCUUGAGGGGGCAGUGGGCCUAGCCCGUGCCGGUUCGAGUCCGGCCUUCGGCACAA
rnacentral:tRNA from 1 species